rnacentral:tRNA from 1 species
AACCAAAUAGUUUAAAAACAUUUACUUUGGAUGUAAAAAUUUCCUUAUCAUUA